AUAUCAUACGAGGUGUGACUAUAACAUAAUGAGAUUGAUUUUCAUGUGUGACUUUUGGAAUCAAUCUCAUUAUAGAAAUGCCUUAUGUCAUA
rnacentral:pre_miRNA from 15 species